UACGUAGGGUGCAAGCGUUAAUCGGAAUUACUGGGCGUAAAGCGUGCGCAGGCGGUUUUUGUAAGUCAGAUGUGAAAUCCCCGGGCUUAACCUGGGAACUGCAUUUGUGACUGGCAGGCUAGAGUAUGGCAGAGGGGGGUAGAAUUCCACGUGUAGCAGUGAAAUGCGUAGAGAUGUGGAGGAAUACCGAUGGCGAAGGCAGCCCCCCUGGGCCCAAUACUG
rnacentral:rRNA from 1 species